rnacentral:lncRNA from 1 species
UUAGUUUAAACAUAUUUAUUUAUAGUGGAUUGGGAAACAAGUUUUACAACUUAUAUUAAUCCCUUUCCACUUUGCGGGUGCGAGUGCUGCCUUGUAGCGGCAUUAGCCUACUCUUUUUCGAAAUCUACAAGGGUGUCUUUAACGUGCAAGAGAUAUGGCUCUCUCUUAACACGGGCCAGCCAUUUAUCGUCCCCGUCCGACGGACUAUCAUCGUUUCCUCAAGACCAUACUCGCAAAUGGUGUCAAGGGAGAGCCGAAAAUUGAGUUCCUGAAAUUUUCAUCCCAAACGGGAAUCGAACCAGGAACCUUUGUGUUAGUAGUCCGAUGCACUAACCACUACACCACAGCUC